rnacentral:rRNA from 1 species
UAAAUCGUACCCCAAACCGACACAGGUGGUCAGGUAGAGAAUACCAAGGCGCUUGAGAGAACUCGGGUGAAGGAACUAGGCAAAAUGGUGCCGUAACUUCGGGAGAAGGCACGCUGGUGUGUAGGUGAAGUCCCUGCGGAUGGAGCUGAAACCAGUCGAAGAUACCAGCUGGCUGCAACUGUUUAUUAAAAACACAGCACUGUGCAAACACGAAAGUGGACGUAUACGGUGUGACGCCUGCCCGGUGCCGGAAGGUUAAUUGAUGGGGUUAUCCGUAAGGAGAAGCUCUUGAUCGAAGCCCCGGUAAACGGCGGCCGUAACUAUAACGGUCCUAAGGUAGCGAAAUUCCUUGUCGGGUAAGUUCCGACCUGCACGAAUGGCGUAAUGAUGGCCAGGCUGUCUCCACCCGAGACUCAGUGAAAUUGAACUCGCUGUGAAGAUGCAGUGUACCCGCGGCAAGACGGAAAGACCCCGUGAACCUUUACUAUAGCUUGACACUGAACAUUGAGCCUUGAUGUGUAGGAUAGGUGGGAGGCUUUGAAGCGUGGACGCCAGUCUGCGUGGAGCCAACCUUGAAAUACCACCCUUUAAUGUUUGAUGUUCUAACGUUGGCCCCUGACCGGGGUUGCGGACAGUGUCUGGUGGGUAGUUUGACUGGGGCGGUCUCCUCCCAAAGCGUAACGGAGGAGCACGAAGGUUAGCUAAUCCUGGUCGGACAUCAGGAGGUUAGUGCAAUGGCAUAAGCUAGCUUGACUGCGAGCGUGACGGCGCGAGCAGGUGCGAAAGCAGGUCAUAGUGAUCCGGUGGUUCUGAAUGGAAGGGCCAUCGCUCAACGGAUAAAAGGUACUCCGGGGAUAACAGGCUGAUACCGCCCAAGAGUUCAUAUCGACGGCGGUGUUUGGCACCUCGAUGUCGGCUCAUCACAUCCUGGGGCUGAAGUAGGUCCCAAGGGUAUGGCUGUUCGCCAUUUAAAGUGGUACGCGAGCUGGGUUUAGAACGUCGUGAGACAGUUCGGUCCCUAUCUGCCGUUGGGCGCUGGAGAAUUGAGGGGGGCUGCUCCUAGUACGAGAGGACCGGAGUGGACGCAUCACUGGUGUUCGGGUUGUCAUGCCAAUGGCACUGCCCGGUAGCUAAAUGCGGAAGAGAUAAGUGCUGAAAGCAUCUAAGCACGAAACUUGCCCCGAGAUGAGUUCUCCCUGAGACUUUAAGUCUCCUGAAGGAACGUUGAAGACGACGACGUUGAUAGGCCGGGUGUGUAAGCGCAGCGAUGCGUUGAGCUAACCGGUACUAAUGAACCGUGAGGCUUAACCUUACAACGCCGAAG